UGGUUGCUUAGAAGUUACCCUGGGCUCCUUUGUGACCUUGAGGACUAUUACAUGUCUUGCUCUUGGAGUGAUCUUUGUUGGUCGACCACUCCUGGGGAGUGUAAGAAUGGUCUUUGUAGCUGUCGCUGAAAAAAUGUAUGGGUCUUUUCUUUCUUUAAAGUAUUUAUUUGUUAUGUUGUUGUUAUUACAAUAAUGCAAUGUAAAUAUUAAUAAUAAUUUGCCUAUGUGAGUUUUGUUUUACAAGGGUUGCAGAAAUAGUGACACCUACAGGUUAAACUAGUGAUCUGCAUUUAAUUUAAGUUACUGUGGUCAUGUGAUUAGCCUAACUAAUAGCAGUGCAAAAAUGUGCAUGCAGUUUUUGGUGCUACAGUGUACACGGAGUGAGGUGCUAAAGAAGAGAAUAACUAAACAGUAAAGCGUUACAGCUACUCCUAGAUAUCUGGUUGGAAGGCGCACACGUGAUUGAAUGUGCUUAAGUUGUGAAGGAAUGCAAUAAAAGAAACGACAAACAUCAGUUGAAGCGUACGUUUUAAUCUGACCAGAAGAAUAGGUUUGGGAGCAGCUACAGUCUUGAAUUUCUUUUCCAGCCUGGACUUGUGUGAAAAUCUGAUGUUUUAGGUUAUAUUUAUGCAUACGCAUCCAGGAGGAGGAUGAGUGGACGACUGCGUUUAGCACCAUCGCCUGUUGCAACAUCAGCCUUAUGUAAAGGCCGAGAAGUGUGAGUUCCACCAACACACGAUCUCCUUCCUAG
ensembl:lncRNA